rnacentral:rRNA from 1 species
CCUACGGGGGACAGCUGUGGGGAAUAUUGCACAAUGGGGGAAACCCUGAUGCAGCAACGCCGCGUGAGUGAAGAAGGAUUUCGGUAUGUAAAGCUCUGUCCUCAAGGAAGAAAAUGACGGUACCUGAGUAGGAAGCCCCGGCUAACUACGUGCCAGCAGCCGCGGUAAUACGUAGGGGGCAAGCGUUAUCCGGAUUUACUGGGCGUAAAGGGUGCGUAGGUGGAUUCUUAAGUCAGAGGUGAAAGGCUAGGGCUAAACCGCAGUACGCCUUUGAAACUGGGGAACUUGAGUGCAGGAGAGGAGAGUGGAAUUCCUAGUGUAGCGGUGAAAUGCGUAGAUAUUAGGAGGAACACCAGUGGCGAAGGCGGCUCUCUGGACUGUAACUGACACUGAGGCACGAAAGCGUGGGGAGCAAACAGGAUUAGAUACCCCUGUAGUC